ensembl:lncRNA
CAGGACAAGCCCCAGGACAAGAGGGCAGAACACCGGUCCUUUGGAAGCUCGCUUCAUAAGCGGCUACACUGCAGUUACAUGAUGUACAUACAGCCCGGCCUUUUACAGAAAGUACCCUUUUAUUUGAACUGUUGUCUUCUAGCAACUUAAAGAAGUCCAGACGCUUUUCUUUGCAAGCUCCUUUGACUACGAUGACCUGGAUGACUGAGAACCUUCACAGACACACCGCUGUCUUCAUUAUCUUCACGAUUCAAGUUGAGUAAGACAGACAGACUGAGACUAAAAUAAUGUCUGAUCUAAAAUACUACAUGUCACUGUCUGUGACUGUGGGUGUCAUGUUGGUGGGCCUGUCGUACACAAUCUGUUUAGCCUCCCAGUGGAUUUAUGGUUGGCCUGACAAGCCUGGGUAUAAGAAGUACAUAGAAGCUCUUAAUCCAAGGCGAAUAUAUCGUCUCAGCUUUGUUACGCUGGAUCUUCUCAAAUACCUGCGGUAUGCCAGACUUUACUUUCAACUGAAGUCAUGGUAUAACGAUGAGAGGAACCUUAAGUAUUACGAAAAGGGCAUCACAUUUGGUCGCAGAGGCAACAAGCUGGACUUGUACCACCCUCCAAAUGUAGACAAGUUAGAAGAUAUGCCAUCACCAGUUGUAAUAUUUAUCUAUGGAGGUGCUUGGAGUUCAGGAGAAAGGUCCACUUACUGUUUACUGAGCAGGCAGAUGGCUGAAGAACUGAAAGCAACUGUAAUUUGUCCUGAUUACUGCACAUAUCCAAAGGGGAAUGUUUUAGGGAUGGUCCAAGAUAUCGCUGACUGCUUGAUUUGGGUCCACGAGAAUGGAGAGAAAUUCAACUUUGACAAAGUAAGACAGCUUAGUAUUAUUUAAGUAUUCUUUGGAACAUGAAUAAUAAGCUGCCUAUAUCUGUACAAUCAAACAAACCUCCUGAAAUAUAAUUAAUCAAUAACAAUAGCUACCAUGACCCAAAAUACUGACUUUUACAAAUGUUACAUAUUCAUAUACAUGCGCUUUUACAGAUUAAGUAAAUGUUUUAUUUAUUUUGUAGAAUAAUUCUGACAGCUUCUGCAUCAUGUCUUUUCCUAUUUUUAAAUUUUUGACACUGUUUUGGAUUGUGACUGGUGGUUGAAGUGAAGUAAUGUAACUUAUUUAUCAUUAUUUAUUCAACAUAAACUGGAAACAGAUUUUUAGGUCUUGUUUAACCCUCUGAGCAGUAAAAAUCUUCUUUUUGGUGUCGUUUCCACAUGUUGAUUAAAAACCACAUCAUCAUACAGAAGUAGUUUGAAUGAUUUCCCGACCCUAGAAACUGAGCCGUGUGAGGAGGAUUCAGCAAAAUCUCAGGAGGGACACUCAGACCUUUCUCUCCAUGCAAACGGCCCCAGUACAAGCUGGAGACUGUGGUUUGAUAAAGUUAACAGAACCAAAUUAAUCUGACACCGUCCACCCCUUGGCUGUGUCCAAUACCUACUGGUAAUGAUUUAUUGCCAGCAAACCAAACCAAACUCUCGAUAUGGUUGUAAAGGGUUUGGAUAACCUGGGCCAGAUACACCAUACUCCCAAAACAAACCCAAGAAAGACACCAUGAGGAAUGUGGUUGAACAUGGUGAAAUCUCAAAGUUCAUAAAACACUUCUAGGCUAGUUGGGCAAACUCCCACAUUACUUUCAGUCCUCAAGAGAAUAAAGAGCUCUUCUAGUCUUCACAAUCAGGAUCAAAACCACAUUGUUCCUGUAACCAAGGUCCACCUAACUGGCUCUCCUCUCUAAUACCCUGGGACAGUCCUUCCAAGAAGCCUGACGGGUGUGAUCCAGCAAGACAAUUGCAUAACCUGCAAAGCCUUAGGGAAUCAUGGGUGAAUCUCUACCACCAAUGAGUUUUUUUUAACUACAUCAGUGACCUUGCCCUCAUUAAUGUCUGAGUCCUCCUCUUCAUUCCCAAACUCUGCUUUCAGCACCGAAGCAGUCAGUGGGAUUGAGGAGGUCCCACAAGUCAACCAAGCUUCGGACUGCUUCUUCAGCUUGACUGGAUUAAGGGUUAUUCCUGUGACAGGUAUCAGCCACCUUACAGCUGAAACCCUUUACAGCAGCUUCAGCAAUGGUUUUGCAGAGCGUGGUUCACUUGGACUCAGUGUCCUUAGCAUCUCUCAGAAUGUUGUCGAAGUUCUGAAGUUACCCCCAACGUACCUUCACUACACAAAGCGUGUGCAGCAUGCUCCUGCAUCACCUGAUCCUAGUCAUCACCAGGUGAUCAGCUAAUAGCUCAGUUUCCCUCCUCACCUAUACGGCAUGCUGCCACAGAUCUGAUGAUACGAUUACAAAAUAAAUCGCAGCGCGACCUAGGAUGUCCUGGGACUAAGUGCAUAUAUGAAUGCUUUUAUACUCAUUCACAAAUUGUUUGUUAUAAACGUUAAAAAAUACAUAUAUCUAAUCACAUACAGCAUGCUGUUCUGUUUUUUAUAGGAUAACAUUGUAUUAAUUGGGCAUUCAGCAGGUGCACAUUUGUGUACACUCACCACACUGUUUCUUGUUGAUACAAGAGAGGAGCUUUCCAUAGAGCCAGACAAGCAGCAGGAAGUCUUCCUGUUAAUAAGAGGAAUUAUUGGUCUGAGUGGCGUCUACAACACUGUGGAACAUUAUGAACAUGAACAGAAACGAGGAAUCGAAUACCUCUCUGACAUGCACAGAGCAAUGACUGGUGUGGAAAACCUUCCAUUCUACUCACCAACACACUUACUGAAGAAGCUCAGCCAGGACAAAGUCAGCAGAUUGCCUCCAUUCGCCUUGCUCCAUGGGACCAAUGACAUUGUCGUUCCUGCUGAAUCUACCAUGAGAUUCUCUGAGCUUCUCACUUCGCGCUCUGUUAAGUUGUCAUUGAAUCUGCUUCCCAGAGCGAGCCACACUGAUAUCCCCGUUGACCUCAUGGUGUCAAACAGACGCCUCUACCAUCCAAUCUACGGAUACAUCAACGAAGAGUUCAGAAAACUUCUGGGUACUUGCACAUCAUUAGAAAAACAUUCAAAAAUCUGUAAUACAUACUGAAUGAUCCAUACAUUUAUGUUUUAGAUACUUGUUCUUAUACCUCAAAUGAACCAUUUAACUUUGAGUUUGAUUUAACACUUUCUGAGUUAAUAACACUGUCAUUAUAUUUUAACAAUACUGUGAUUGUGUGGGAGAGUUGUUCUCUACGAUGCUUUCAAAUAAAUAAUCACAAAGUAAAAUAAGUUGUGGAGAAAUGUGCGCUAGUAAGAAUUGCACUGAUACACAGUAUUAAAAGUUGAAUACAGUUAACAAAUCUGUAGCUGUUGUUUAAUUAUCAAAUUUGAGAAUUUUCAAGUGUUUUAUUUGAUACUCUAAAAGUACGUGUAUAAUAUAUUGUAACAGCACAUUAAUAACCCAAGUUUUAUUGACAAAUGAAGUACAGUCAUCAUUUUUACACCUACUUGAAAUUAUUAUGCCUAAUAUUCCAAAAUUCAAUGUUGUUACAUCUUGUGAUAGUGUUAAAAUCUAACCCGUCACUCUUUUUGAUAUACAUGUAUUUACAGAGAGCAAAAUAUUUUGGGAAGUCUUGAAUGAUUAGCAAUUUUUGAGCCAGUAUAACUUUGAAACAGUACAUAAAUACCAUCAGAUUUUCACUGCAGAACAAUAGUAACCAUGUUCUGUAAAACUUAAUUGCUUUAAAAUGUUUGAAUUUUGAGCAUUAUUUACAAAAAAUGUGUGUCAAAUGUUUGUACUGCAAGUAGAAUAGAAUAAAACUUUGGUCUGUAUCAACUGUGCAGGAAAUCAAAAUAGUAAGACAAGGGGAAUAAAUAACCAACAAGAGGAAUA